UUGAUUGGAGAUGUGUCAGGAGUGUCUACUAGCACAGUAUCAAGAGUUGUUACUCUUGUUUCAGAUAAAAUAGCAAGGUUGCGAGAACGUUUCAUACGAUUCCCUACUACAACGGAAGAUAUACAUCAAAAACAGAAAGAGUUUUUUCGAAUUGCUAAAUUUCCCAGAGUUAUUGGUGCCUUAGAUUGCACGCACGUAAAAAUUCAGUCACCUGGCGGAGACCAUGCGGAACUAUUUCGUAAUAGAAAAAACAUAUUUUCUUUUAAUGUACAAACGAUUUGCGAUGCUCGUUUGUUGAUUUUAGACAUAGUUGCUAGGUGGCCAGGAUCAACACAUGAUGCUACCAUAUUACGAAACUCUCGUAUUUAUGCUCGUCUUGAGAACGGAGAGUUCGGAGAUGGCCUUGUGCUUGCUGAUAAAGGGUAUGAAAAUAAUAAACGGAUUUUAACACCCCUUCAUUCCGUUAACAAUGCAGCUGAAAGACUAUAUAACGAAUCACAUAUUCGGUCAAGAAAUCCAAUUGAACGCUCUUAUGGUGUUUGGAAGCGAAGGUUUCCAGUGUUGUCUUUGGGUAUACGAAUGAAUUGCACCAAAGUCCAAUCAAUAAUUGUCGCCACAGCAGUGCUACAAAAUAUAUGCUGCUUACAUCGCGAUACUGAAGCUCCUCCUUUAGAUCCUGAGAUUGAUAGGCGAAUUUUGUCAGUUUUAAGCAUACCGAAUAAUCGCAGCUCUGAUCGGCGCACUGAAAAAAAUGUGACGAGGAAUAAUUUAAUAAAUGGGUACUUUGCAACCUUAUAACUGCAAGUCAAGCUUUGUAAGACUAUCAAUAAAAACAAAUAAUACAACAAUGUUA